UACGUAGGGUGCGAGCGUUGUCCGGAAUUAUUGGGCGUAAAGAGCUUGUAGGCGGUUUGUCGCGUCUGCUGUGAAAUUUCGGGGCUCAACCCCGAACUUGCAGUGGGUACGGGCAGACUAGAGUGUGGUAGGGGAGACUGGAAUUCCUGGUGUAGCGGUGGAAUGCGCAGAUAUCAGGAGGAACACCGAUGGCGAAGGCAGGUCUCUGGGCCACUACUGACGCUGAGAAGCGAAAGCAUGGGGAGCGAACAGG
rnacentral:rRNA from 1 species